CCUGUCUCCACCUUCCAAGUUGCCUGCCUGGCUCACACAACAAGGCAUAUACAAUUUAUAGAUAAAUCUAUUUUACGUUGGUAUUUUUUUAGGUUACAAAGCAAUUUCACAUAGAAUUUUACUCAACUGGAGAAGUUUCAGAAAAGCGGUUUUUCAUUCCCAUUUUGCAGAUGAAGAAACUGAGGUUUCGAGGUGCUCCCACUGUCCUUGUCCAUGAGAUCUGAAUAAAAGCAAAGCAACUUGUAAGUGCUCUCCACUUCCCUGUCCAGCAGCUGCUCCAGUGAGCACCAUGGCAGCCACAGAAGCUGCCAGGAGAGGACACUUUAUGGGAAG
rnacentral:lncRNA from 1 species